AUGGCAAAACCCAGACUUGUCAUCACUGUCCCUGCCUUUAACCCCCUUGGUGGUCCUCGCCCCCUCCCCACGUCUGCUCUGGGGUCCUGGGUAUCACGCUCCCUCACUCCUUUGAAGCCUCACUGCACUUGGUUAAUACAUCUUAGUUUACAUACAUUUCCACAGCAUGAAUCACUAUGUUGUACUAUUACAAUCUCAGUUUUCUCUGAAGACCAGGAUGACCUCUGCUAUUGCUUGAGUCUUCACAGAAAAUGGCACUUUGCUGCCUCCGUGACUGUUUGACUAAUAUACAGCGUAUUAUAUAUUAUACCUGAAUGUCCUCCUCUCAGAACCUUUUACAAAUUACAAACUUUUGCUGGUGAAAGGGGAAUAAGGGAAAUUGAUGUGGACGCCCACUGCUGACAAGCAGAAUAAAAUUAGGGGGAGGGCUUCCCUGGUGGUCCAGUGGUUAAGAACGCACCUGCCAAUGCAAGGGACACUUGGGUUCGAUCCCUGGUCAGAGACGAUCCCAUGGGCAGCAGAACAACUGCGCUCACACACCUUGACUACUGAGCCUGAGCGACCUAGAGCCUGUGCUCUGCAACGAGAGAAGCCACUGUAACGAGAAGCCCACACACGGCAGUUAGAGAGCCCCUGAUUGCUGCAGCUGCACACACUUGCAGGCCCUUGCUUGCUGCAACCAGAGAGAGCCCAUGCGCAUCCAUGAAGACCCGGCACAGCCAAAAAUAAAUAAAUAAACUUGCUUGCUGCACACACUUGCAGGCCCUUGCUCGCUGCAACUAGAGAGAGCCCAUGUGCAUCCGUGAAGACCCGGCACAGCCAAAAACAAAUAAAUAAGAAUCACGACCUGAAGUACUUCAAAUCACUAAAAAUUAGAAAGAAACUGGGGGCCAAAGAGAGCAGCUGGGUGUCUGUGGUUCCCUCCGGCAGGACCACCUCUAAAUGCCUUCGUAGUUUCUCUCUUUCAGCUCACACUGUCAGUUUGACCCUGUCCUUAACCUUGUGCCCAGAAGGCAUCCUGUCCCCUACCUCCCUGACCACAGAAAAUUGCCUGAGAAGAAACUGAUGGGGGAGGGAAGGAAAAAAUGCAAGGAAUUAGAGUAAUUACNNNNNNNNNNNNNNNNNNNNNNNNNNNNNNNNNNNNNNNNNNNNNNNNNNNNNNNNNNNNNNNNNNNNNNNNNNNNNNNNNNNNNNNNNNNNNNNNNNNGAAGGAAAAAAUGCAAGGAAUUAGAGUAAUUACGGGUAUUUCCAAAGCAAGAACAUUUCUGGUAAGUUCAUAAGGCUCUUCAUCCUUCAGCUAUUUUGUUGUCGAAAUGGGCACCCCCCAAAAAGUCAGAAUGAAGAUCCCCUAGAAGUUACAAUACCUAUGAAAAUUACGGAUUCAACCAUGUUAUUUUCUAUUCCCUUUCCAAAGACUUUUGUGUAAUGGAGAAAUUUUAGAUGUUUCCAAUUGCUUUACUUUUUUUAUUUUUUGCUUUAAAACAGACUUACUGGUUAACUUUCCUUAUGCAAUGAUCUCAGUUUUUCCCUCAGAAGCCAGCUUGCCAUGACUUCAUGAAAUUUUUCUCACUUCCGUGGAAAAACAUCCAAAGAUGGGGCACACCUUCUCUUCUGUGGAUCAUUUCAUUCUGAUAUGUAUUCUUGCAAAGAAUGAGCCAAGAAUUCUGUUGCCCUUUGAUGAUCUAAACCUUCCCACUGUACUAACUCACUAAAUUAGAUUCCUUGAUCUUUGCUUAAAUAUGUAAGAUUAAAUUAAAUAAGAUCAACAAGAUUGUUUUGAAUAAUCUUCUCAAAUAGGUUCAUUGUUUUGGAAACAUUCUCUCUUCAGAAAUGACCAGCAGGUCUAGGAAUGCAUAUAUAUCCGUGAUAAUUCUGUAAGCAUUUCUAUUUCUGUCCUGCCAAUUAAGGAAAGGGGCCAGUAAGAACACUUGUUUAUUCAUUUUAACGAACAUUUGCUGGAUUUUGCUCAGGGUCUCAGCUGGACACUGCAGGGACACAAACAGGGUCCUGUUUUUAAAUGUGGGUAUCUCAAACGGAUGCAGAAGAUGAGGGUAGCUUCAAUCAGGAGGCAGGAAGAGAGGCAUUUUAGAGAAAACCACUUGGUCAAAAGCAGAUGUGCCAAGGUCAAAGCAUUAGGAUCCUCAUUGGCCCUGGGAGGACUGGGGAAGGAAGCAGAUAGGCAGCCCAGGAAAAGGGCCUGGACCAAGGGGAGGGGGGGCUUCCACUGUACAAUGUAAACAGCAGAGCUACUGAAACCUGUCGCAGGGUGGGCUGCUGGAGGUGGAAGGGCCUCUUAAGGCAAAUAAUGAAGACCUGAACGAUGGACUACGACCUUGGACUAGGCAAGAUGGUACCAGACACGAGAGCUGUUAUGGAAGACUGCUGCUGUAUAUGAGGAAGCUCUAACAGGCCCCCAGAGAGGACAAGGAAGCCUCGAGAAGCAGCGGGUGUGGGCGGGUAGAGGAUUAGUACAUUUUUAGAUAAGCUGAGUCUAAGUUGAAAAGUCCAGCGCUAGUUGAAAAAUUAAGAGGAAUACAUGUGUAUUUCUGUUUCAGGACAGAAAGUCCCCUCCCCCUAAACCCACAGAUACACAUAUCUGUGUAUAUCUCUACACACAGAUAGAGAGUGAAGGAAGAGUGGUCACAGCCGCCCUUGUGAUCAACAAGCCAGGGGUCAAGUUUCCUGUGUGGGAAGCAGGCAUCCUGACCACUGGCCUUACUAAGACGAGAGGAAUUGCCGGUUUGAGUGGGUGUUGGAUUUUUUUAAAAAUAUAAUUAUUUUAUUAGAGUAUCAGUUCAGUUCAGUUCAGUCACUGAGUCAUGUCCAACUCUUUGUGACCAUAUGGACUGCAGCACACCAGGCCUCCCUGUCCAUCA
ensembl:lncRNA